rnacentral:rRNA from 1 species
UACGGGGGGGGGCAAGCGUUGUUCGGAAUUACUGGGCGUAAAGAGCUCGUAGGUGGUUGGUCGCGUCUGCCGUGAAAACCCAUGGCUUAACUGUGGGCUUGCGGUGGAUACGGGCCGACUUGAGGUAGGUAGGGGAGAAUGGAAUUCCCGGUGUAGCGGUGAAAUGCGCAAAUAUCGGGAGGAACACCGGUGGCGAAGGCGGUUCUCUGGGCAUUACCUGACGCUGAGGAGCGAAAGUGUGGGGAGCGAACAGG